rnacentral:rRNA from 1 species
UUUUUCGCAUGAAGAACUAAUUAAAGGAGUAAUCCGCUUUGAGAUGGACCCGCGGCGCAUUAGCUAGUUGGUGAGGUAAAGGCUCACCAAGGCGACGAUGCGUAGCCGACCUGAGAGGGUGAUCGGCCACAUUGGAACUGAGACACGGUCCAGACUCCUACGGGAGGCAGCAGUGGGGAAUAUUGCACAAUGGGCGAAAGCCUGAUGCAGCAACGCCGCGUGAGUGAUGAAGGCCUUCGGGUUGUAAAGCUCUGUCUUUUGGGACGAUAAUGACGGUACCAAAGGAGGAAGCCACGGCUAACUACGUGCCAGCAGCCGCGGUAAUGCGUAGGUGGCGAGCGUUGUCCGGAUUUACUGGGCGUAAAGGAUGCGUAGGCGGAUAUUUAAGUGAGAUGUGAAAUACCCGAGCUUAACUUGGGUGCUGCAUUUCAAACUGGAUAUCUAGAGUGUGGGAGAGGAGAAUGGAAUUCCUAGUGUAGCGGUGAAAUGCGUAGAGAUUAGGAAGAACACCAGUGGCGAAGGCGAUUCUCUGGACCAUAACUGACGCUGAGGCAUGAAAGCGUGGGUAGCAAACAGGAUUAGAUACCCUGGUAGUCCACGCCGUAAACGAUGAGUACUAGGUGUAGGAGGUAUCGACUCCUUCUGU